rnacentral:rRNA from 1 species
GAUGAACGCUGGCGGCGUGCCUAAUACAUGCAAGUCGAGCGAACAGAUGAGGAGCUUGCUCCUCUGACGUUAGCGGCGGACGGGUGAGUAACACGUGGAUAACCUACCUAUAAGACUGGGAUAACUUCGGGAAACCGGAGCUAAUACCGGAUAAUAUAUUGAACCGCAUGGUUCAAUAGUGAAAGACGGUUUUGCUGUCACUUAUAGAUGGAUCCGCGCCGCAUUAGCUAGUUGGUAAGGUAACGGCUUACCAAGGCAACGAUGCGUAGCCGACCUGAGAGGGUGAUCGGCCACACUGGAACUGAGACACGGUCCAGAGUCCUACGGGAGGCAGCAGUAGGGAAUCUUCCGCAAUGGGCGAAAGCUUGACGGAGCAACGCCGCGUGAGUGAUGAAGGUCUUCGGAUCGUAAAACUCUGUUAUUAGGGAAGAACAAAUGUGUAAGUAACUAUGCACGUCUUGACGGUACCUAAUCAGAAAGCCACGGCUAACUACGUG